rnacentral:SRP_RNA from 2 species
GCCAGGUGUGGUGGCGGGCGCCUGUAAUCCCAGCUACUUAGGAGGCUGAGACGGGAGAAUUGCUUGAACCCGGGAGGCGGAGGUUGCAGUGAGCUGAGAUCACGCCACUGCACUCCAGCCUGGGUGACAGAGCGAGAUUUCAUCUCAA